rnacentral:rRNA from 1 species
UGAGGAAUAUUGGACAAUGGGUGAGAGCCUGAUCCAGCCAUCCCGCGUGAAGGAUGACGGUCCUAUGGAUUGUAAACUUCUUUUGUACAGGGAUAAACCUACUCUCGUGAGGGUAGCUGAAGGUACUGUACGAAUAAGCACCGGCUAACUCCGUGCCAGCAGCCGCGGUAAUACGGAGGGAGCAAGCGUUAUCCGGAUUUAUUGGGUUUAAAGGGUCCGUAGGCGGACUUGUAAGUCAGUGGUGAAAUCUCAUAGCUUAACUAUGAAACUGCCAUUGAUACUGCAGGUCUUGAGUAAAUUUGAAGUGGCUGGAAUAAGUAGUGUAGCGGUGAAAUGCAUAGAUAUUACUUAGAACACCAAUUGCGAAGGCAGGUCACUAAGAUUUAACUGACGCUGAUGGACGAAAGCGUGGGGAGCGAACA